GACGAACGCUGGCGGCGUGCUUAACACAUGCAAGUCGAACGGAAAGGCCCCUUUGGGGGUACUCGAGUGGCGAACGGGUGAGUAACACGUGAGUAACCUGCCCUUGACUUCGGGAUAACUUCAGGAAACUGGGGCUAAUACCGGAUAGGAAUCCUUGCUGCAUGGUGGGGGUUGGAAAGCUUCGGCGGUUUUGGAUGGACUCGCGGCUUAUCAGCUUGUUGGUGGGGUAGUGGCUUACCAAGGCUUUGACGGGUAGCCGGCCUGGGAGGGCGACCGGCCACAUUGGGACUGGGAUACGGCCCAGACUCCUACGGGGGGCAACAGGGGGGAAUAUUGCACAAUGGGCGGGAGCCUGAUGCAGCAACGCCGCGUGCGGGAUGACGGCCUUCGGGUUGUAAACCGCUUUCAGCAGGGGCGAAGCUUGUGGUGACGGUACCUGCAGAAGAAGCACCGGCUAACUACGUG
rnacentral:rRNA from 1 species